GACGAACGCUGGCGGCGUGCCUAACACAUGCAAGUCGAACGGAGAAGUUGAUUUCGGUUGACUUCUUAGUGGCGAACGGGUGAGUAACGCGUGAACAACCUGACCUCAAGAGGGGGAUACCAACGAGAAAUCGUUGUUAAUACCGCAUAAGACCACAGCGCCGCAUGGCAAAGGGGUCAAAGGAGCAAUCCGCUUGAGGAGGGGUUCGCGUCCCAUUAGGUAGUUGGUGAGGUAACGGCUCACCAAGUCAACGAUCAUUAGGGGUUCUGAGAGGAAGGUCCCCCACACUGGUACUGAGACACGGACCAGACUCCUACGGGAGGCAGCAGUGAGGAAUAUUGGUCAAUGGACGAGAGUCUGAACCAGCCAAGUCGCGUGAAGGAAGACGGUUCUAUGAAUUGUAAACUUCUUUUGUGCAGGAAUAAAGUGGGUUACGUGUAACCUUUUGUAUGUACUGUACGAAUAAGGAUCGGCUAACUCCGUG
rnacentral:rRNA from 1 species